rnacentral:lncRNA from 1 species
GCAAGCUAUCUUCCUGAGCAAUAGUCACUAAAUUAUUUAUAACUGGAGCUACGAAACUCCAAAUCAAGUGCCAUUAAUUUUCCAUGAAAAUAGACUCAUAUAUCUUCUAUCCAUAAAAUUUCAGAAUUUUUUGGUCUAGCCAAUCAAUACCAGAUUUUUCUCAAAGUUUCCCAUGUUUCACUAUUUGACUAAUCUGACCACUCUUCAUUACGAAUCAAAUUUCUCAUUGUACAGAAUUUAAAAUAUGUUCUUGUUUAUUUCAUUAGAACCUAGACUCAAUAAGCUUUAAUUACAUAAUUUAUUCAGCUUCAAAUUCAUCUCCCACAAUUUAUGGUGAGUUUCCAAAGUCACAUUACUGCUGCUGUCCCAAGCAGAUUUAUUACCAAAUCACUCUUUCACACAUACCUUGCAUGCAUGUUAUUUAAACAUGUAUAUCACCAAUCAAUCAUCACAUAUCUAUGAUUUUACUUAAGAAUAAUCUCCAUUUCAUCAUUUUAAAGCACAACAUGUUAGCUGAUUUUUCCCUUUAACAUCUAAGGCACAUGCAUGCUCAUUUGUUUGGCUCAACUUCACCUAUCUUCCAUUUUUUUCAUCAAAAGAACAUGAAAAAACAACCAUUUCCUUAAUUUUAAUUCAUGACUAAAUGCUCACAACACAACUAAAAACCAAAAUAUGCUUCAAGAGUUAAGGUAGAAUCAAGAAGAACUCAUGAACAUCAAGAUAGAAGCCAACUACCAUGAACUUACCUUCAAUUUUCUUCCCCAAGUGACCGAACACUCAAGAGCUUUCUCCUCUCCUUUCUCUUCUCUAACUUUCAGCUAUGAUGAACAAAGAUGGACAAGACUUUGUUCUUUUCACCCCUUUUUCUUUUAAUAAAACUUCAUAUUUCAUCCAUUUAAUUCUUUAAUACAAAAGACAUGAAAUUCUUAUCAUGAAACAUUUACCUAACCCAUUAUCAUGAAACAUUUACCUAACCCAUUAUCAUGGAACAUUUACCUAACCUAUUAUCAAUUUAUAUCAAUUUGUACCAUAAAUUAUGGAUAUCAAGUGUACAUUUUGUCUACAACAACAUGAUGGCUGGCCACUUCAUGUAAAAUGGGAGGUUUGUCAUGCAAAUCCUCCUAUUUUGCACUCCUAUUUAUUUGGUCACUUCAAUUUAGCCUAUAGCAUUUUCAAACAUUUUCACAUAGGUCCUAUUUCAUAAUUUCACUCACAAAUGACAAAAAUUAAGCAUGAAAUUUUGCCAACAUUCACAGAAUUCCCGAAAAUUGGGGCGUUACAUUCCCUAUCACAUACACUCAAUCAAUGAGUUAGUCACAUAACAAUGUAUAAUGAAAGUUAUCUUAGAUGAGCUCAUCAUUCAACAUCUCAUUUUGUACAUAUAAGUCAUGUUAAUCUUGUUGAGUUUCUAGAAAGUCUCGAUAGAAUACUUAUUAACCGUCAAUUCGUAUGAAUUAUCAUUUCCAGUAUGCACUUCCGCGAACAUCACAUCUCAUGGCAGGAUUACCAGUCCAGGCUAAAUCCCCCAUUUUAUGAACUCAUAAGGUGAUGUCAAGAUUACAAGUCCAGGCUAAAUCCCUUAUAACAACAAACACCUUUAUUGAGCUUGGAUCUGAAUUACCAGUUCAGGCUAAAUUCAGAUCCUAAUCGGAUUACCCGUCUGGACUAAAUCCAUAAUGCACACAUAUUCUUCGGGAGGCUUGACCAUUUAAAGGAACACCCGUCCGGGCUAGAUCCUUUUAUAAAUGACAUCAACGGAUUACUCGUCUGGGCUAAAUCCUUACUGCAACACAUGCAGGACUUCAUUACACAUGUCAAUCAUGGUUUAUCCAUCGAAUUCCCUUUUUAACCUCAACCGAGACAUUUAUCACAAUUCAUACUUAAACAUACAUUUCAUAAAAUUUCAUGUUAUUAAUAAAUGCAAUCAUCAUGCAUUCAUAAAUCAUAUAAUUAGGCACAUUGAGUGUUUACUUUAAGUUAUCCGAACUUACCUGGUAUUCAUUUUGGUGUCGUGUUUUGGUUAUUUCGAAACCUUUCGUUUUCCUCGAUCGACCUCCAGAAUUUGUUCCUCUAGGUCUAUAACAAUAAAAAUAGAUCAUAAACACUCUAAAUUAUAUAUUUCAAGUCUAAAUUCCACCCCCGAUCCAAAUGACCGUUUUGCGCCUAACCUUUCACAUUUUUACAAUUUAGUCCCUAGGCUCGUAUAAUGAAAGGCAUGCAAUUUCUACCUUACUCAAGCCUAGCCGAACACUUUUCCCUCUUAUGGUAGCCCACAUUUUUCAUUAUUUCCACAUUCCUGCCACACAUUUUACAACUUUUGCAAAAAGGUCCCUUUAGGGGUUUUUCAUGAAAAUCACCUAGAAAAAGUUGUUUAACACACAUCAAACUUUCAUAUUCCUCCAUAAAACAUCAAAAUACUAGUAACUUAUGCAUGGGUAAAUUUUUAAACAUGAACCCUAGCAUGAAAUAUUGGUAGAAAUGGAGAGAGUAAGCUACCGAAAUCUCAAAAUUAAGAAGAACAUUAAAAACGGGGCUUGAGAACACUUACUAAUGAGCUUGAAAAGCUUGGAAACCCUAGUUAUGGUGGCUUGGAGAUUACGGCUGGACAAGGGAGAAAAAUGGUUAAUUUUUUCCUUCUUUUCCCAUUUUAUUUCAUUAAUAUGCCACAUGACCAAAAUGCCCUUAAGCCCUUUCUUUGAAAUUUCAUCAAUGCAAGCCCAUUUUUGUCCAAAAACUUAGAAAUUAGAAAAAUUUCUCCCCAAGACCUUCUAUUUUAUAAUCUAAAGCAAUUUCAUACAAAUUGCUUCUAGAAUCCAAGUUUUGCAAUUUAUUCAAUUUAGUCCCUAAUUUUCCAAUUGGGCACUUACUCAAAGAAUUCCUUCAUGAAACUUUAACACAUGUAUAUUCUCAUAUUCUAAGCCUCGUAAUAAUUAUAAAAUAAAUAUUUUGAUGUCGUAUUUGUAGUCUCGAAACCACUAUUCCGAUUAGGCCCUAUUUUGGGGUGUUACAUAAUUUACCAACUCCAAUGUCUUUGGGAAAAAUUUUAUUGCACAAGACUAUUAUAUCUUCCUCACUCAUAUGACCUAGUUGCAUGUGCCAAAGUUUUGUUGAGUCGGAAUCGAUGAAGAAAGAGUCACGUCGUGUCGCCGUGACGUGGUGGGAAUUUCGACUUUUCUUCAGUAAUCGCAGCCACACCAGUAAUUGUUGACCCUUGCAAAACGUAUAGGCUGCCCUUUUCCUCUCCCCUCAUCAUAAAAGAGCCUCAGAGAAACUUUUAAGUCAUUUGACUCAAUGACUAUCCUGCAACCAUUAGAAUCCAAAAUUCCCAAUGAGAUAAGAUUUUUCUUUAAAUCAGGAACAUACCUGACAUAUGAAAGUGUUUGAAUAAUCCUGUCAUGCAUCUUAAUUUGUAUCGUUCCAAUUCCGAAUAUUUUACAUGGGAGAGUUAUUCCCGAUCAGCACAACUCCACCUUCAACUUAACUAUAUGUAGAGAACCAGUCCCUGUUGGGAUACAUGUGACAGGAGUACUCUGAAUCUAAGUUCCAUUCAGAAGUAAGAUGAUAGCUUUUGCUCGUUGACACCAACAAGAAAUUAUCACAUUUAUCCUCAACUACACUAGCAUCAACAACGUCGGCUUUUUGCUUAUCUUUCUUAUCGUUUUCAUCAUCAUUUUUUAUAUUAUUUUGAAAUUUCCAACAUUCUGCCUUAACAUGGCCCGCCUUUUUACAAUAACCACAAUAUUUGUGAUGAUUUCUGGAGUUGGACCUUGCUUUAGACCUAUUUUGAUCUGUCUUUCUGGUUUGUCAUUUGCCUCUUGCAACUAGAACUGAGGUUUGCCCGUAUGAUUUUUUGUUUGGGCUUAACUCAUUAUUGAGUUUAUCCUUACUCAGAAGAUUCCCCUUCACAUCCUCGAACGAGUGAUGGUAUCUCCCAUAAAUCAAAGUUUCCCUGAAAGUUUUAUAAGAAAAAGGCAAAGAGCAUAACAAUAACAUAGCUUGAUCCUUAUCACUAAUAUUUGCUUCGAGAUUCUAUAAGUCUUUAAAAAGGGUAACAAACUCGCUAAUAUGAGUUUUGAUGGACUCACCUUUAGCCAUUCUGAACAUGUAGAAAUGUUGUUUUAAUACUAACCUGUUGGCUAGAGAUUUUGUCAUAUAUAAGGUUUCUAGUUUCUUCCAUAACAUAAACGAUGUUUUCUCCUUCAAAACCUUCUAUAACACAUUAUUCGUGAGAUAUAAUUGAAUAAUGGAUAGAGUCUUUUCAUCGAGCUCUUCCCAUUCUGACUGAUCCAUAUCUACGAGCUUUUUCCCUGUAAUGACCUUUUUCAGACCGUUCUAAACCAAUAUUGUUGUCAUUCAAACUUUCCACAAACUAAAAUUUACAAUUCUUCAAACUUCUCAAUAUCAAACCUUGACGUUGCCAUCUCUAAACGGGUUGACUGUAAAAAUUAAACUAGCUCUGAUACCAUUUUGUGGGGGAAAAACCCAUUAAGCAAUGAAUAAAGUAAAUAAAAUAAGAAUCGAAAAGAUCGAACAUGUAAAUUUUGCAUGGAAAACUCCUCAAGAGAGGAUAAAAACCACGGGAAAAAACAAAUUUCACUAUAAUAAAGGAGAGUACAAAAGAUGGAGGAGAGAAUUAAAAGAAAACCCGAAGCCCUUCAAGAAAAACCCUUCAAAACAAAGAAUAAAAUUCUCUCAAUCUAAAUAAAUUUUUGUUAUGUAAAACCUAGAGUAACUAAGGACUAUUUAUAGUUGAAAUUUGUAGCAUAUAUGACUACAACAAUUAGAGUUUAAGUGGGAAAGUAGAAACAAAGUUUAACUAGGAGAAAAAUAAAUUUUGGUCAAAAUAAGAGGCAUUCUUCCACACCUUUCCAAAUAAUACCUUAAGAGAGUGUCACAAAGUUACCCAAUGGAAUAGCAAGAUACAAAAGCUUAAGAUACUCCAAAACAGCAAACAAAGUGAGACCACACUAUUGCCUAUUUAUAGGCGUCUACAAGUGAUUAUAAGAUAGUGUUUUGAUAAGCUUUAAACUCUCCUUUAAAAGUUGAAAUUAUCAAAUUAAUUAUCUUGAAUAUUUAUCACAUAAAAGACUUUAUAACCAAGUUUUCCAAUAGCUUCAAACACUCUAAAAGGUAAGGAUAAGGAUAAGUGCCCAAAUUUCGAACUCCUCUCCUUCCUAGGCUAAUCAAAUGGAUGAUAAUCAUAUUCCAAUUUACCAAGAAAUUCUCUUAUCAUUUGUUGUUAACUAAUAUUAGAACAUAAGCCAUUAAAAGUCAAACAUGCCAACACCCAAAAAUGUUGAUUGCUCCAAAAAGCUUGUUUUAAUUGUUGUUCAAACAAGUCAGUACAAUUUCCAACAAAAAUUAAUAAUAACUAAAAAAUAUUAAAAAAUAAAAAAAUAUAUUUAAUAAAUGAAAAAUCAAAUAAAACCUAAUAAAAAGCUCAACCUUUUGUUAAAAAAAAUCAAAUAACUGAUAGUGUCUAGGAGAUGAGGAGUUAUACAUUUAAAUAUAUUGUAUUAUAUUAUUAUGUCGUAUAUUAAAUUAACAUUUAUAAUCUUUUUUUUUAAGGAAACCGUUAGUCUCAUAUUUUCGUCUUCUGUUUUUUUUUUCCGGUUAACAACAAAACUAGAAAAUACUGCACUUACACAUGUAUAUAUGUUGACCAUAUCUAAGAAAUAUGUUACUGAAUCAUGUGAAAUUCAUUCCCUUGAGCCAAGAAAAAGGAACGUAAAAUCAUGUGAGUUCACGUGGCAAUUAGGUAGAAAUUAGACAACUUGUCUAUGCUUCAAUCAUUAUGAGGCAAACCAAGACAAGUUCAACUUUUUUUUUAUCCUCUCACUGUGAAACCUUUUGCAGGAAGACUUAGGAACAAUAGCUAAGCCUAAAUCCUGCUAGAAUCACAACAUAUUGUUUUGUUUAUUAAAAAAAAAAGAUGAUAUUGGUCUUUGAUAUGUAAAAUUGAUCUAUACAUGCAUUGAUGUUGAGCAAUUUUUGUUUGAGGAGUUAACCGCUACAUUAUAUAGAAGUAAUUAACGUCUUGGGGAUUUUUUAUGCAAAAAAAUAUAUACAUAAAUUUAUAUGAAAAAUACAUGGUUAAAAAAAUUUGUAAAUAAAGCCUUGACAUGGUAGGUAAAAGUGGAAGCUAUAGGCUUUGAGUAACCAUAUUCAAGACCCACCGUACACAGUUGAAUGUAUGGGUUUUAAAGUCCUAUUAUUAAUUGUUAUGUGUUGGUUUUAGUUUGAUUAAUUAUAUUAUAACUUACAUUGUUUCUGUUUAUAAUUUAUAUUUUAUGUAAUAGAUUGAUUUUUUGUCUUAAUUUUUAGUCUAUUUAAAUGAUAUAAUUGUUUAAUUCUACACUUAAUAGUUACUUUGACCUAUAUUUAUAUUUUAAUUUUUCUGUAUUUUUAAACUUUAAAAAAACAUAUAUUUAUAUAUAGAAAGUUUAUGAAUAAAAUUUCUUUUUUCGAAAAACAAUAGAAAGCAUACGCAUUUAAUAUUUGGCAAAAAUAAAGUGAGUAAUGAAAGAUUGAAUUAAGGCAAACUAUAUUUGAUAGCAUCUUUGAUUGGUAAAGCCACCAAUAUCAGAAAACCGGAAACACUAAGACUAAUACGAUGCAUUAAUCAGCGGAGUAGUUCAGCAUUAGUGAUGAAGAUGAAAGUGGUAGAUACAAACCUUUUUCAAAGCAUUAAACACACUCAACCAUAAGCUGAAACAUGAAAAAGAAAGAAAGAAACCUUGGCAUUGAAUUGGGCCAACUACCAACGCCUAACCAUAUACUAUUCGUACGUGUUUCUCAGUUCUUUUGAUAUCCCUUCACUCAACUUUUGGCUAUAAAAACCCUCCUACGCUCAAGCCCUAACCACGACAAUCAGCUAUAGUACUUCUACUCCAAGCAAGCAUUUUCCUUUUCUUGUGAUUAAUCGAUAUGGCUAGCUCAAUGUCCCUUAAGCUUGCAUGUGUGGUGGUGUUGUGCAUGGUGGUGGGUGCACCCCUGGCUCAAGGGGCCGUAACCUGUGGUCAAGUCACAAGCUCCCUCGCACCCUGCAUUAAUUACUUGAGAGGGACUGGUGCUGGUGCUAUUCCCCCAGGUUGCUGCAGCGGCAUCAAAUCUCUCAACUCCGCCGCCCAAACAACACCAGACCGGCAAGCAGCUUGCAAAUGCAUCAAAAGUGCGGCCGCCGGCAUUCCUGGCAUCAACUUUGGCCUUGCAAGCGGACUACCAGGCAAGUGCGGUGUCAACAUCCCUUACAAGAUCAGCCCUAGCACUGACUGCAGCAGGUUCGUAUGAGUUGUUUCAUUGCUUAUGCUUAUUAAUUGCUCAACAUUUAAUGGUGUGUCUUUUGUUGUUUCAUUUGCAGCGUCAAGUGAAAUUUUGGCAUGGAAUGUUCAUCAGCUAGUGGAAGCCAAAAUAAUGAUAGCUACAGAAUAAAAAUGGAUGUUUAAAAUCCAUCCGUAGGGAUAGCAGAGGAGUUAUCCUAAUUUUAGAGUUGUGCGUUGUGUACUAGGUCGGUUUUUGCGACUAUGUAAUACUAUCUUUAUCUACAAAUUAAUAUCACUCAUUAUUUUGUGUUUCUUCUAUAUGAUAUUUAUCUAUAUACCCUUCUCUCAAGCAUUUUAUAUCAACAUUCACGUGGUCUAAUAAUAAUGAAAAUCAUGAUUACUCAACCCUAAGUUUAAUUAAAUCAAUUUAUGCACCGGUUCUGUUCUUUAGUUGCAUGUACCGGAUGCAAUUCCCAUUGCAAUCUGUUUUGUAAUUGAAAGGUUAUACAACUUGCUAUAUAUAUCGACAUAUUUUUAAUUGAAAAAUUUUGGGCUCAUUCUUAAUUUACUUUAAAUCUUUAAAGUGGACUACUCCUUUGGAGACAUUUCUUUUUAAAUGAAAAUAUUAGAAAUACAAUUAAGAGAGAUUAUUCAUCUGAUCAUGUUGAAACACGGAUCAAAGUUCAAAGUUCAUGAUCAUUACGCACAAAACGUUUUAUGAAGAUUAACUGAUUAAACGAGAUUAUUAUUUGAUCCACUUGAACUUGCCUGACUCGUGGAACACAUGGAAAAGUCUAUCUACUUAAACCUUUGGAGGUUCAGUGAAACUCUCCAGUAAAAUUAGAGUUACCAGAGUAAUUAAUGUAAAGCCUAAGGGAUAAAAAUGUAUAGAGUUUAAAUCUCAUAGGACUCUCAUCUUAUAAAUAAGUACUAAUAUCAGUCGUCGAUAUAAUUUAAUCUGUAUCAUUGGAUCUAGGGGAGCUCAACUAUAAAUAGAGACCUCCUUCAUUUGUAAUCAUCUCAUUGUACUCAUGAACAAAGCCAAAAAUAUUUUUUUGGGAUAGAAUUAAAUUAUAUAUUUUUACAAUAGUAAAAAUACAAUUUCACUAAUUUAAUAGUUAUCUUUAUAAUUUUUAAAGAAUUAAAUCAAAUUUUUAUGAUGGGGAAAGUGAAAUUUUACCAUUAUUAAUUUUAAAUUUUAUAAAUUAUAAAGGGAUAUAAAUGAAAUUUUUUCUAUUUUAGAAGGGAGGUCCCUACCAGCCCUCUUAGUUUCACCACUAAUUGUACUUCAUUCCUUCUUGAGUUAAAGAAUUUAUUAAGAGUAUUUACUCAAACACCUUGUAUACAUCGUUUUCUUAUAUCUUUUCAAUUCUCUUAUUGCUCUUUCAUUUUAAGUUACUUCCACAAUAUUUUUUGCUAACAUAGAGAAUUUUUAGGAAAAUUAUCACUUUUCGAGGGUUAGGUUGACUUAGGCAAAUUUAACGAAAAGAAAUCACUUAAAACCACACGAUUUAUUUAAAUUCUAAUCCCAUAACAGUAAAGUUUUGAUAUUUGAGUAACUCAACAUUUAUGUUUCAUGAAAAUAAAAAUAAUGAGAUUCACUCCUUACAAUAAAAUUUCUAUGUUGCACCUAAUUUACCAUUCACAAUAUGAUACUCAUAAUUAAGAUUAAUACAAUACAUGGGUUUGUCAUAAUGUAAUCUGAAAUAAGAAAGUAACAUUUUUUAAAUAAAUAUAAUUAGAAUCUAUUUUAUUAGUUCUGAAUUUUCAAAGUUUAUAUUAGUUUAAAACGGUUUUAAUAAUUCUUAGUUACAUAUCGCUGAUUAAACUUUUAAAUUUAAAUUCAACCGAUUCAUCUAAUAUAAUUCUAACAACAUUAAUAUAUAAUUUUUGUAUUUUUAUAAACACAUAAUUCUAAAUAUAUAAAUUCUUAAGUUGGUGAAUUGUUUAUUUUACACUAAUUUUAUAAUAAACUAUAUGCUAAUGAGAUAAUUUAUUUUACUAAAUUAUCAUUAAUGCUCCCUGAUUAGGAAUGUGCAUACAAAUUUGAAUAUCGCUGAAGAGAUAGCGAUUGUUUGUAAUAGAGAUUUAUCGUAUAAGUCUCAUCAUAAUUUCAUUAUCUUAGAAUCUAAACACAUUUUAUACAAAAAUGUUAUUUUAAAAUUAAGUGAUGUUUUGGUUGAAAUAAUUAAGUCAAAAUUUUAAACUUAAGUUUCAAUUUUAUUAUAGUAUUUUUUUAUUUAAAAAUAUGAAAAGGCAAAAAAUACUCUCUUAUUAAUAUUUUUUUUUAUUUUAUAUUAAAACUAUUUAGUAAAUUCUCAAUAGAGUUAGUAGCCGGUUGACUCGUGACACCAACUCAACUAAGGCUUAAUAUAAGUAUAAAUAGAUGAGUAAAUUUAGAAUAAUUAUUGUUAAUGUAACUGUAAAAAUUUACCAUUACAGUGUAAUGGAUUUUAAAGGGUUGAUUCUAAAAUCUGACUCUAAAUUUUUCAUCGAGCUUUGCUCUAACAACACACUUAGACGAUGGGAUCUCUCCAACAUUCUCGGUGAAAUUAAUUUUUUUGCUACAAGUAACCAACGAGGAAAGGGUGGAGGAGAAGAGUCUCGAUUCACCUAUGAUAGGAUGAGUUAAGGAGGGAGAGAGCGAGAGAGCUACAGUUGUUGUCUAGGUUUUCAGGGGAGAAAGAGUCGAUGCUUGGUUCCUCAUGCACCAGAGCUUACAUAGGGGAUCACCCAUUGUCCUGUAGUGUCGCGUAACUGACAAUGUUGUGUCCUACAAGAUUGUGCGUGCCAGCCAAGUGACAAGGCCGUCAUAGGUCAAUUGUCAUUAUAUAGUGUAUUGUGUGAUCCUACUCUAACAUUCUUGUCUUUGGGGUUGUACGAGACUAUUACGCUUUAGUGGUCCUCACGGAACUGCGUAACGAGCUAUCUCUAGGUAGUUUAGAUAGGGUUCAUGGGAGGUCAUUUGUGAGCAAUCCUAAGCGAAGGAUCGCUACGAAAGGUUCUUAACGAAGAGUCAUACGCAAACUGCUUCCAAUGGAGAGUUGUUUGCAUAUUGCUUCAUGUCUUGCCACGUAUUGAGAUGGAAAUAUAACAAUAACAUUAAAUUUUUUUCACAUGGACUCAGAGAAGCUAAUACAAUCCCAGACGCACUAGUUAAAAUUGGCACCCAUAGGAGUCAUUUAUUUCAUGUAUUUUGGGAUAAAUUUUUGGUGUUGUUGUAUGUGUUUCUUUAUAGCAGUGGUAUGCUAGUACAGCACUUGAACAUGCCUUGCACGGAUACUUUUUAUGAAACUGUAAGUCGACUAAUAAAAACGAAGUUAUGAAUAAACUGUACAUCUAUCUACCCACCUUCUUCCCUACCAUUUAUCCCCCGCCUUACUUUGGAAAAGAUUUAGGAGGGUUUCAGAUUUUACAUUUUAAAUUUUAGAUUUAUAUUUCAAAAUCCAUAAUCAUUUUUUAAAUUUGUGGAUCUACUCUAUUUAGUUGGAAUUUUAAUAAAUCUAGAAAUUUAAUAUAUUUAUGCUAAUAUACGCAUUACAUUCAUUUAAUUUAAAUAUAAAAUGACAUUAAAAUAUACAUGAUCUGAAACAUAUUAUUAUUAGACUUUUAGUCCCACCAUUUGCAAAUGUUAUUUGUGAGUUUAAAUCUCAUCAUGUAUUGGUUCUCUUCAAAAAAUUUUGAUUUAAAUCUAAAUAUAUUUAUGUUAUCAGUUAGUUAUGCUUUGUACUAUAUAUAUUCUAUUUUUAAUUGAUCAAAUAUAUAUUAUUUUUUAUUGCACUAGUAAACUAUUUAAAGAAAAUGUUAUUAUUAUUAUUUCCUUGGCUUUUCUUUUAUUUAUUUGGAACAUUAAAAAAUGAAAGGCUUUUCUUUAACUCCAUAUUCGUAUAACUUUUUUUUUAAAUAUUAUAACUAAUUUUAUAAUGCACACAAAAAUAGACAAAGAAUUUAUAAUUUUUUUUUAAGAAGACAGAAUUUAUAUUUAAUAUAAAAUCAAUCCUCGUUGAAUAGGAUUGCUUAUUACGACACACCUGUAAGCUCAUUAAAAUCAAUUUGGGGUUAGUAGAGAUAUAAAUCAUAUCAUUAAUUAUUUUUUUAUAUUGAGUCGGUGUGAUUUAUGUAAUUUAUUAUUCUAAUUCAUUUUAGGGAAUUUUUUAUGUAUAAAUCUUGUGUUGAAAUCAUAUAAUUUAUCUUACAAUUAUGAAUUUAUCUUUUGACGCGUCGAAAAUUAUUUAUUUGAAGGUUUUAUUAAAAAAUAUUAUUUAUAUUAUUUAAUAUUAUCGUCAAUAACUUUUUAUCCAGUGACUAGAAUAUUAUGAUAUAAAUAUUAGAGUUUAGGUUUGAUGACAAAUAAUUUUAUUCUCCACCCUUAAUUAUCCAAUAUAUAUAUAUUUCAUAUUACUUAAUUUUUUUAAAGUCAAAUUUUAUUAAAGAAUGAAUAUGAAAAAAUUAAAAAUAUUUCUUUUCUAAAAUAAUUUGACAAGCAAUAAAGCAUAAAAAAAAUUCCAUAAACAAUAAUUUCGAAUAAUAAAUUAUAAACUUUUGAUAAAGAUGUACUCAAAUAUCUUAAUAACUAAUAAUAAAAUAUGUAUAUAUUUUUUAAUUUCAUGUUUAAUUUAAAAUUUUUAAAAUAUUUCUUCAUAUUACAAAUGUAAUUUGUCUCCCUUUUUUACAAUAGUUGGAUCACUCUUCAUAAUAUACACAAUAAUAUAUUAUAAAGCAAUUUAUAAACAAUAAUAUAUUAUUUAUAAAAUCUUUUAAAAAUUAAAAAUUAAUUCACACGAUGAAUCUGUGCAUCUAAACAUAUCAACUACUUAAUAAUAUAUUUUGCAUACAAUUUGAUAAUAGUCCAAUUUGAAAAAAUAUAUAUUUUUGUGCUUUCUCAUAAAAUUCUUAAAUAACCCAUAAAAAGAUAUUAUAUGUUUUAAGUGCAUCUGAAUUUUUUCAACUUUAGAGUUAUUACAAAAGCAACAAAACCAAUUAAAUUAAUAUUUGGUUGGUUAAAGUUUAGGCGUUAAUAACUUAUUUUAUAUAGAUAUAAAAACAUUCAUACAUUCGUAUAGUGUUCAUAAUAUUUUUAUGCCAUUUAAUGUAUGAAUUGAUUUUCCAUAUCUUCUUUGUAUUGUUAAUUUUAACACUAUAUUUUUUUACAAAAAUUUAAAUUUUUAUACAUAUAUAAUAUUAAUAUAAAAUUUAAUUUAAUUUUCAAAAAGCUUUGAGCCAACAUAUUCAAAUUAGUCAACAACCUAACAAAACAAGUGGUUGAGGUUGCUUGUUGGCGCUGAUAUAGAUCCGACUAAUGUCAUUCACUACGAAAAUAAUGGAAAAGGCCACCUGUGGGGCCAACUAGGUAGAUAUAUUAUGAAUUGAAUGACAUGUGGCUGGUUGUAAUACCUCAUUGCAUUCAUUGCUUCAUUCACCCCCUAUUGAAAGUGAUAGAUUUUUUCUUUUAGGGAGAUUUAACUUACAAAUUCAUACUCUCUUUUUUUUUUUAUCAUAAGAGGUGUUUAAACUGUUUUUUUUUAAGUUUGGUAUUUCGGUUUAAUCAAAUUAUUAAGUUAAAAAAAUUUUAACCCAUUAAUUAGUAUCUAAGCUACAUAUUUUUUUCAAAUUGAUACCUAAACAUUUUUUUAUCCUACGUGGUACUUAAAUUAUUCUUUCAUUUUCCAUUUAAUACCAAAAUAUUAUAUUCAUUAAAAAAAUCUAAUCAAUAAUAGAUUGACAUGUAAAAUUUUAAAAAAAUAAUUAAUUCUUCUCUUCUCUUCUCUUUUUUUUUCAAUUAUUUCCCUCAUUUUAACUUUUUAUUUUUUUUUUCUUUCUUCUUCCUUUAUAAUGUCUAACAAUGACAACAAAUGCAAUGCUCAAAAUUCGCCCUCGUGAGGUUAAGACUAUGGAAAUUAAUUUUCUUUUCGAACUAUAUCGCUUGUAUGUUAGACCUGACGAGAUCGUAAAAAUUCUUUCAUUGAUCAAAACCAAUUUUUUUUCAGAAUCAGGCUAACAGGUCAUACUUUUGUAGGGGUGAGCGUCUAAUCGAAUCAAAUAGAAAAAUUUCGAUUUAAUCAAGUUGACGAGUCCUAUUUUAUCAUCUUAAAAUGAUUUAAAAUUUUAUCGAAUCGAAUCGAAUAUAUUUGUCUCCAGUUAAUUGAAAAAAAUUCUUUGGAUCCUUGUAGCCACUGUCACUCAUCAUAAUCAAAUUUGUCCAUCGUAAUCAAAUUUGUUAUUAACUUUCAUCCCUUCAUAAUUUAUUUAUUAAUCUUUUAUAUACGGGUUAGCUUCUUUGCUUGCUUAGUUGCUUCAAUUAUCUUUUAAUUCUUGUCACUGUGUAUUUUGAAAUUAAAAAAUAUAUUAAAUGUAAAAAAAUAUUUUUUUAAUAAAAUUUAUUUUAAAGAUAAAAUGUGAAAUUGGUACCAAUAGAAAGUUUUAACACAAAUAUUGUAUGACAUCACCAAUGAUACAAUUUUAACAGAAAUUGAUAAAGAUUCAACAUGAUUAAACAACUUAAUAAUAUAAAUAAUACAAAAUGUGAAAUUUAAUUUAUAAUAUAAAUAAUAGCCAUAAAUAAAAUUAUUACUAUUUAGGUCUAAGGAUUUUUUUUGGAGGAUUUUGAUUUUUGAUUUGGGGAUAAAGGGUGAGAAGUAAAAGUUUUGGGGGAAAAGUAGAAGGGUUUGGGACGGGGUAGGGGUGGGGGUGGGGUUGAGGCUGGGGGAAGGGGAAUAAAAGUUUCGAGGGUAAAGUUUGGAGGUUUGGGGUUGUAACACCCCAAACCCGGCCUAGAUGUUAGGACCAAGCCUGGAAAGCUACAACAAAUCAUUCCAAAAAAUGUCACUUUUAACUAAUUAAAGUUUAAUUGUCAGAAAAUGUUUAAAUAGUUGAACUAAUGUAGAAAUAUAAAUUUGCAAUCUGUAAUUCAAGAUAAACAACUAUAGUAUAAGUUUAAUUAAAGCGGAAAAUUACUAAGUAAGAAUGACUGAGCUCCCGCCACGGCGACCGGCCUAAGUCGAUGAGUUACCAAAAAUUCAGUCAACAGACAAAAUGAGUCGGUAAACACAACAUGUAAAUUAUAUUUUUAUUAAGCAAAACAACAGAACAUAUCUUCAGUUUUUCAAAAUUCGAACAGUUUUCAAAAUCAUAUACGGAAGCAGAACAGAAUAUGUCAGUUACACACCAUCUCCAUCCAACCCUACACACCAAAAAGGUAUGGAAUGCCCAUUCAUCCCUACACACCACAUAGUGACCAUAUGUCAUGUUCAAAAGGUUACAAACUAAAUUCUAGGACAGAAUGUGAAAGUCGCCAAAAUUAGAUACAUUUACGUGGCUUAGCCACCAAUCUUAGUAGAUUAUUUAACUGCCACAACUUCCUCCUUAUUCAAUCCCAACCCCAAUGCAGAUGCAAAGUUACAGAUACAGAUAUAAGCAUAGAUGUUACAGAUUCAGAUUAUACUCAGUUAACACAGAAUACAACUAUUCGCUAGUUUACAAUUCUAUGAUGUAUAUAAAAUAAUAGUUUAUACAGAAACAAAUUACUAGUCAAUGGGUUUUAUAACCCAAAUCGGAUCAUACAAACCCUAAGGUAAGCCUACGUUCGACUGGAACGACGUUUAUAGCCCUAACGAAAAAUUUGAAAUUUUGACCCAUACACUUGUGUGGAUUCACAUGUCUUGGAAGGCUGGCCUAUGUGGCACACGAUCUAUAACAUGGCCUGGCACACGACCAUGUGGCUCAAAAAAAUGAGUUACACAGUCUAGCACAUAGUCAAGCACACGUUCAUGUGACUCAAUUCAUAAAAUUUCCUUCAUAUGGCCUGGACACACGAACGUGUCCUAGCGCGUGUGACUCUAAUCCACAAAUAGUAAGUUACACGACCUAGACACAUGCCCACAUCCUUGGCUUGGUGACCCUAAUACACAAACAGUAAGUUACACGGCUAUAUGAUUAACAACCAUGUGUUCCAGUGUUCGCAAAUCAUAAAAAAAUGCGUUUUCUUUAAACACUUGAUGUAGUUUCGAUGUAGAAGCAACACACAAGAAUUUGGAACCUAAAACGACAAUUAAUUGACCAAUUAAACGACUAAUCAACUCAAAAUUCCAAAAUUAGCACUCAAAACUAACGUACGUCGAAAACUUCGAUGCAACCAACCAAAGCAGAAAUUUUCGCUUAUUGACAAGCGAGCAACAAUAGUUCAGACCUAAUUUCGCAGGAAAACAUUACUUUUGAAACCUUUUCCUAAAAGAAGAUCCAUUAGAACUAUUAACGAGAUUUUACAAUGAUUGGCAGUAAUAUCGAACCUCGACGAAACAGAAAAAGUCUAGCAAAAAAUAGGCAGAAAAAAACAACAGAAAUUACGAAAUAUCCUUGCAAUCAACGUAAAAAACCACACAGAUUUCCCAAUUAAGCACGAUAGCAAACUUACGGAAGCAAUCAAGCAAGAAAGGUGUAAUAGCCCAUUUUUAGUAAAAUCAGAACAGUGGUUUCGGGACCACAAAUCUAGAGUCAAAAAUAUAAUUUUAUUAUUAUUUUAUGGUCUACAUCAUGAUAUUAUUACAGUAUAAAAAUUUUGUUAAGAAAUUUUACCGUUUACAUGUUCAAUUUGAUAAAAAGGACUAAAUCGCGUAAAGUGCAAAAGUAGAGUUUUAAUAGCUAAAGGUAUUAAAUAGCUAUAUAAAUUUAAAUUAGAGGUCCUUAUAUGGUAAUAACCCAUAAAUGUGUUAGUGGAAUGUCAUGGCUUGGUAAACUUGUAAAUUGAAAUAAUUUUAAAGGUCAAAUAAAUAAUUAAGUAAAUAAAGGCAAAAUUUAGUAAAAUAAAGCCAAGUAUAAUCUUUUAUCCUCUUUAUUCAACCGAUUAGCUUAGAAAAAGAAGCCAUUUUUUCUCUUUAUGGUUCGGCAAGCUUGUUUCCAUCAAUUAGGUAUGUGUUUUGUCCCCCCCUUUUUUUAUAAUUUCUAUGUUUCUAGGAUCGUUGUAACUUAAUCUAGCUAGCCUGGGAAUUAAUUUGUGAAAAUGUUAAAGUAUUUGAGUUUUACUAUUGAUGAACAUGUUAGGGUUUUGAAGUUUAAUAGUAUAAAAUAAAUGGUUGUUGUUAGAUAAACAACCUUUUUAAAGGAAUUUUUUAUGAAAUUAUCAAUUAGGGAUUAAAUUAAAAAAUAUGAUAAAUUUGUGGUACAAUUUUGAAUUUGUGAAAUAUAUGGGCAGCUAUAAAUAUGUUUAUAGUUCGGCUAGGCUUGGGUUUGGAUAAAAUCGAAUGAAUUUCAUUUUUCGAGCCUACGGACUAAAUUACAAAGUAUUAAAAGUUACCAUUUUGCCAAAAAUGUAUGCUGGACUAAAUUAAAAAUGAAUUAUAUUGAAUUGAGUUAAAUUAAUUCGUAUAGAUCCGGUUAGACCUCGUAUGGAGUUCUAUUAGGGCAAAGGAAAAAUAUCAGAUUAGUCGCCUUCGUAUCUACGUACACUUGUCGAGGUAAGUUCAUGUAAUUAAAUUGUGUAAUUAUAUGCUUUGAUUGAAUUAGAUGUAUGUUAUUUGCAUUAUCAUCAUAAAUGAAUAUCGAUCGCAUAUCUGAUGACGUACGACGAUUACCGAGCCCCAUUUGAACCUUAAGAAUUAGUAGGAUAUAAAUAACAUGUCAUUAGGGUUAUCGAUUUCAGUUCUUAUGAGCUUACCGAUACUCAGCUCGUAUGAGCUUACUGUUAUUCAGCUCGGAGGAGCUUACUGUUUACAGCUCGUAUAAGCAUACAUGUACAUGAGUUGAUGAAUUACAGUUUAAUACACCUCGUGUGUACUACUACAUAUCCAAUAAUAAUCUAAAUGGUUCAACGUGCACUGUUCUGUUAUGAUAUUACAUGAGUUCAAUACGAACUAAUACAGGUAUUUACAUAAGAUAUAUGAAAAUGAUUUGUACAUGAUAUGUAGAUACAUGAUGUGAAAAUUAUAUGUACAUGGAAAUUUGAUAAUUGUUGAGCUCAUACAUGUUUCUUGAUAUUUAUAUGAAUUACAUGACUAAAAUGGUUGAUCAAGAUAUGUGUUUAGGCUUCUAUCCAAAUUGAGUUUGGAUAUGUUUUGUAUGCUUACCUUAAAUGUGACUAAAUGGUAAGUUAAAUUCUAUGUUAUACGAACUUACUAAGCUUAAAUGCUUACUCUGUGUUAUUUUUCGUGUUUUUAGUGAUUCAGAAGCUCGUUCGGGUUGGAAGCUUGUCGGAGCUAUAUCACACUAUCCAUUGGCUCUUUUGGUACACUCAAUUGUUUAAUUUCAGUUAUAAUGGCAUGUAUAUGUUAAUUUGGCCAAUGUUGGCUUAUAUGUGUUUUGUUGAGAUUAGCCAUUUGUUUGGUUUGUGUUAUAGAAUUUUAGAUAUGUUCAUAUUUUGCUUAUUAUAGUUGACGUGUAGUUUGGUUCAUGAUUGAAUAAAGAGUGGUAAAAAGGUAGCCUAAUGUGCAUUUCAUAUAUGUGUUUUGGAAUGUGAAGAAUUGAUCAUGAAUUAGUGUCUGGAUAUGUAAGGCAUAUAAGUUAAAUAUGUUAGUAUGUGAAAUACAAUUUGGCAUCAAAUGAUGUGUUUUGGAAGGCAAGUAAUUUGGUAAGAAAUGAUGUAAAUCUGCUUAAUAAACUUUGGAUGCAAAUAUGCAUAUAAGUGAGUUAAACAUUUGGAUAUAAUGAAUACAUGAAAAUUCUUAUUAUAAGUUGUCAUUUGAGGUGCCUAAGGGCAUAUUGGUUGUAUGUAAUAAUAUUACAUGUUUUAAGCUUGAUUUUGGCUGGUUUUGGAUGCCUAUUUAUGACUUGGUUAUAUGCAAAAUGUUGUGUUUAGGUUGGUACCAAGUUGGGUGAGAAAUGUGGCUUGGAAAAUGACCUAUUUUCAUACACAUGGGUAGAGACACGGGCGUGUGUCUCAACCGUGUAGGUGAUAUGGCCGUGUGUCCCCUGUAUCUUUUAAAGAAUGCAAGUUAGUAUGCUCACACGGCCUGGCACAUAGGCGUGUGGCUUGGCCGCGUAACCCAAGUCAGUGAGUUACACGGGCAUGGACACAGGCUGGGACACGGUCUUAUGUCCCUAUUUCGAAUACCCACACAACCUAAGACACGGGCGUGUCUUUUGGCCGUGUGAGUCACACAGCCUGGCCACACGGCCAUGUGACCCCUGCAGUUUUGAAAUUUUUAUAAGUUUCUGAAAACUUCUCUGAAUUUUUUAUUUAGUCCCGAAUUAUUUCUAAGGUGUAUUUUGGGUCUCGAGGACUUGUAUUAGGGACAAUAUGCAUUAUUAUGAUUGGUUUCUGACAUGAAUACUAUAUGUUAUGAAAUGUUUGAAUUUUCUGUCCAUUUAAAUUGUAAACUUCGGUAAUACUCCUAACCCUAUUCCAGCGACGGAUUCGAGUUAGGGAUGUUACAAAAGGAGAAAAAGAAAAAAUAAGGAAAAGAAUUGUAAGGAAGGAGAAGAACAAAAAAUAAAAAUAAAAAAACUAAAAAUAAGUUUUAAACAAAAACAAUUAUUAAAAUAAAAUUGAUUUCCCGAUAGCACACCAAAAUAUUUCCUUAUUUCUUAUGCAGAGACUCAAACAUGAGACCUUAGGUAAUAUAAAACUUAAUCAUUAAACCAGAUGACUCAUUCUUGACACAAAUUAAUGUAGACACAAACUUAAGUCAAACAUUCAAGAAUAAGAGUUGAAACAAAAGAAUAAUAAAAUUCUCUAAAAGUACGACUUGAACCCUCGAUCCAAAAACCAACACAUAUAACUUAACCACUGAAGCAGAUACUUGCUUAUAAAUAGACACUAAUAGUAACAAUUCAAAAUUUGGGGCGUUACAGGGGCAGACAAAGAGGAAAGAGUAAAUUUUUGGGGGAAAAGUAAAAAUGUUUGGGGUUUGGGUUUUGAGGUAAAAUGUAAAAUAUUAUAGUUUGGUAUUCGGCUUAAUCGAAUUAUUCGGGUUAUUUGAAUUCAAAAACUCAACUUGACUCGAACUUGAAAUUAAAAAAAAUCUAGUUGAUUUGAUUAAUUCGAUUAGAAUAAUUCAAAAUUCGAGCUUUUUUCAAUUUUUUCGAGUCUAUUCAAAUUUUGCUCACCCUUAAUACUGGGAACCAAUUAGGAUACUAGUUUGGAGAUAGGGCUUGAACCAAUUAACCUGCAAACUGAUACAGAUUUAUUGAGCCGAGCUAAAAAAAAACUAGUUGAACUAGUUUUCUCUAUUUUUUAUUUUUAUCUUUAUGAAUUUUUAAUAAUUGAUUUCAUCAAACUGGAUAAAUUGAUUAAACCAGUAACUAAUGAUCUAGCUAGUUUGAAUAUGGUAAUUUUUAAUUGGUUAUCAUUUUUUAAAUAGACUUAACGAUUUGAGUAAAAUUUAAACUAACAAAUGUAUCAAUUUGAGAAAAAAUAAAUUAAGUACCACAUGUGACAAAAAUGUUUAAGUAUCAAAAUAAAAAAAAUAUAAUUUAAAUACAAAUUUGUAGAUUAAGGUUUCUUUUAACAAACUUAACGGAUUAAGGAAAUUAUCAAUUUGAGAAAAAAAAUAAUUUCGAUAACAGUCGCUGGUGACAAAAAAGGAAUUAACUACCAAAAUGAGAGAAAAGGGAAAAGAUUGAUAUAAUGUGAAUUGAAUGACAUGUGGCUGGUUGUAAUACCCAACAAGCUUUAACAGGUGUCACUGAUUAAAAUUAUAUCAUAUGUAUUCUAUCAAAAAUAUAUUAUGUAAAAUUACAAUUUUUAAAUUUAAUAAAAAAAUAUAUUAAAAAUUUUAACUCCGGCCAAAACGUGAAAUAAAUCGUUUUUUAACAGUGUUUUGGAAAAAAAAAUUAGGGUUAAGUACCGAAAUGAUCACUAGAGUAUUACUUGUGUUUUAUUUUGAUUACUAAAUUUUUAAUUAUUUUUAUUUUAGUCACUAAACUAUAUGAAAUCAAAUAUUUUUGUCACUAAAUGUUAAUGACCGUUUGAAAAUUUUUCGAAAGUGUUGAAAUGUGUUAUUUUUUAUUUGUCUAAUAAAAAAUUUAAUCUUCUUUACACAUUCUAUCAAUUUGAUUCUAAAUAUAAAAAAUCAAUAAAUUUAACACCAAAUGUUUACAAAAUUUGUCACUUUAGUUCAAAUUCUAAAAAACAAAAUUAAUAAAUUUAGCUCUUAACAUUUACAAAAUGAAAAUUUUUAAUUUUUAAAAAUUUUGUAAAUUAAAAAGAAAAACAAGUGUAAUAAUUGUAAAAAUUAUUAACAAUUAAAAAAAUCCAUAAAGCCGUUAGCUACCUCAUAGUCAGUGCCAUUUAAAAACAUGCUUAGCCAUAAUAGUACAAGAAUUAAUGAAAAAGUAGAGUAAAAUUCAAAACAAUCAAUCUUAUCGAUAUACUUUUUCAAGGCUUUUAAUGUAAACUAAAAAUUCUUGUCCCAUCUUGUUCUUCUUCUUUUUUCUACAUUGGUUUAAAUUAUUAUUUGCUAUUAAGACAUUGUCAAUUUCAGUAUUUGUCUCAUUGCUUGAUCUUCACAAGAAAUUCUAGAAACAUAGUAUUGUGUUUUUGAGAAACCGUGAACCUUGUUUUGUUAAUCUAGGUUUACACCAAAUUUCAUUAUUGUACUCUACUUGUGAUUUAUUUGUGAUUCUUUUUUCAAUUUCUUGUAUUUGAAAAUAGAGUAUUAGUGAUUUUUUAGUACUGCUGCUAGUUAUGUAUGAAGUUGCUCAAAUUUAUGUGUUUAGCCAAAGGGUAGGGGAAUCAAUGCAUCCGCUACACUUACUUUCAAUGUUUCGCCUUGUCUUGGGGUUAAACUAAAGUUGAAGUCUCAUUUUAAAGUUGAGAGAUUAGAUCGUGGUGAUGAUAAUUAUUUCUUUUUUUUUUUUAAGUUUAUUUAGGUUUGUGUGUUGAGUUUUUUAAAAAAAAAUUUACAAACUUUUAAAAAUCAAAUCUUGUCAUUUUGUAAAUGUUGAUAGUUAAAUUUAUUGAAUUCUUUUAGAAUUUGAAUUAAAAUGAAAAAUUUUGUAAACAUUGAGGGCUAAUUUUGUUGAAUUUUUUUAUAUUGAAGACCAAAUUGAUAGAAUAUAUAAAUAUUAAAAAACUAAAUUUAUUAUUAGACCAAUAAAAAAAAACCAAUUCCACACUUCUUUUAAAUUUCAAACUGCUCUUAACAUUGAGUGAAGAAAAUAUUUAGUUUUAUAUUAUUACCAAAAUAAAUAAAAAUAAAAAUUCAAUCAACCAAAUAAUCUAUAAAUAGAUUUAGAAUGUUGCAUGAUAUAUAUAUUAAAAAAAAGAAAAAAAAACGAUGCAUGUGCCCUAAUGUUGUGAAGUUUUUUUUUUCAUUGAAAAUAACAAAAUAACUAUUUGUUUAUAUUUUAUAUUAGUUCUAUGGCAUACCGCGUGGAAAAGGAAAAUUCAUGUAAAUAAUAUAUUUAUAAAAAUUUAUAUUAAAACUAAAUGAGAUUUUAGUUGAAAUAGUUAAGUUAAAAAGUGUAAAAUUUAUGAGCUAUAAGUUUAAAUCCUAUUGUAGUGUUAUUUAUAAAAAAAAUGAGAAAAGAUAAAAAUACCUUUAUAUUAAUAUUUGUUAUAUUAUAAAAUAAGGAUAUUUUUAACAAAUUUUCAAUUGAAUAGAUGUUUGGGUGAAUCCUAAUACCAAUUAAAGUAUAUAUACACAAACAAUUAUAAAUCAAAUUACUUUUAAUAAAAUGCUAUCAUUCAAUUCAAUGACAAUAAAUGCAUUUAUAAAUACAUCAAAUGUAAAUCUCAUGUUUAUAAGAAAACACGUAGAAAAAAAGUUAAACCAAUAUUUGAGUCCUAGCUGUGGAGGCAUGAUUGAGUGAAAUCAAAUGGACGCUGGUUUUAAUUCUAUUGAAAGAAACCAAUAAUCACGUAGGUUGGCAGUUGAACAUAAUUGAAUGGUCUCAACUUUUAAUGUGGUGUUAAUGUUUGGAUCGGAUAAUCUCAACUUACCUAAUAGCUAGGAAAGUAAAAUUCAAACAUCACCCGCUACUACUUUUGGCUAUAAAAACCCUCCUACCCUCAAGCCCUAACCACGACAAUCACCAAUAGUACUACUACUCCAAGCAAGUAUUUUCCUUACACGUUUGUUUUUCUUGUGAUUAAUCGAUAUGGCUAGCUCAAUGUCCCUUAAACUUGCAUGUGUGGUGGUGUUGUGCAUGGUAGUGGGUGCACCCCUGGCUCAAGGGGCCGUAACCUGUGGUCAAGUCACAAACUCCCUCGCACCCUGCAUUAAUUACUUGAGAGGGAGUGGUGCUGGUGCCGUUCCCCCAGGUUGCUGCAGCGGCAUCAAAUCUCUCAACUCCGCCGCCCAAACAACACCAGACCGGCAAGCAGCUUGCAGAUGCAUCAAAAGUGCGGCCGCCGGCAUUACUGGCAUCAACUUUGGCCUUGCAAGCGGACUCCCAGGCAAGUGCGGUGUCAACAUCCCUUACAAGAUCAGCCCUAGCACUGACUGCA